GCGCUACAAUUUAAAAGUCAUACCUCUUAGCAAGGCAACCUUUUAAAAAGUCAAGAGCAAAGCGAAUUGAGAUCUGACACAUGCGACAUAAACCAGAAUAUUAGUGGAAAAUUAGCUAAAAAGUCCUAAUAUGUCAGGCAUUUUUUCCUCACCUCAAUGUAGUAUGCAACCGCGGAGGCACGUUUCCUCGAACACCUGGUGGGCGGCGAGAACGGUGACGAGAUGCCACAAGAUCCCCUUGGCGACCACGAUGAACCGAUGAUCGAUUACUGGGACAAUAUCCCAGUCUCCAGCGCCUCGAGCCAUUUCAUCUGCUUGCUCCUCGGUAUUCGCCCUCCGCUCGCACCUCGAGUCCUCCUUCCACAUGCUCGACGCCAUGAAGGCCAUGGCCGUGGCCAUGGCUGUGGCACCCACUUGCGACCAACGGCUCAACGAGGCGCGCCAUGGAGGCGUGUCGCCGGAGUCAACUCUCCGGCGAGCCCCUUUGGUAUGGGGCUAUUGUGACUUGCAGUGCCGGCGUUGCGGAGGAACGAG
rnacentral:lncRNA from 1 species